UGCACUCACUACUGUAAGUCAUUCUGGAUAAGAGUGGCUGCUAAAUGACUAAUA
rfam:Salmo salar isolate Sally breed double haploid chromosome ssa11, whole genome shotgun sequence.